CGCUUUUUUCGCGCAGGCGGAGCUCGACCGCAAACUCAAAUCGUAAACGCCUACAUCGACCAGCACCGGGAUACCUAUGGGGUCGAGCCGAUCUGCAAGGUCUUGCAGAUUGCCCCA
rfam:Candidatus Tenderia electrophaga isolate NRL1 plasmid unnamed, complete sequence.